rnacentral:rRNA from 1 species
AGCUCCUUUCCUUAGAAGCACGCGAGUGAAUCGGCAAAGCUCAAUUUGAAAUCUGGCACCUUCGGUGUGGAGAAAAAAGUUGAAGAUUGUAACCUUGGGGUUGGCUCUUCUCCUGUUUCUUGGAACAGGACGUCACAGAGGGUGAGAAUCCCGUGCGAUGAGAUGCCCAAUCCUAUGUAAGGUGCUUUCGAAGAGUCCAGUUGUUUGGGAAUGCCGCUCUUAGUGGGUGGUAAAUUCCAUCUAAAGCUAAAUAUUGGCGAGAGACCGAUAGCGAACAAGUACACUGAUGGAAAGAUGAAAAGAACUUUGAAAAAAGAGUGAAAAAGUACGUGAAAUUGUUGAAAGGGAAGGGGUUGAGAUCACACUCGAUAUUUUUUGAGCCUUGCCUUCCUGGGGGGGGGACCCCCCGCUUAUCUGGGCUUCCUCGGUUUGGGGGCGAGGAUAAUGCCGGAGGGAAGUGACUUUGCUUUCGCGUAGAGUUAUAACCCGCGUUGAUGUUGCCUGUUUAGAUUUAGGACUGCGAUUUUUUCUACGAAGGGGGUCUCAUGAUCGUCCCCCCCCCCCCCCUUAAAAAAAAAGACAAACAAAGCCCCUCUUAACACGAAAAAAUCGGGUCU